AAAAUAGACGAGACAGCUUUUUUUUCGGGAAAAUUCCCAAAAAGUCAAGCUACAUGAAAAUAUAUAACAACAAUGUCUUUAAAAUUUCGGGAUUGAUCCCGAAAAAUGAUUUUCAUAUGAAACAACAUUAACAAUGAUUCUGUUCACAUUUCAAUUCAGGAAAAAUCCCGCAACCAAAUGUUGAGGCAUAGACUUCUUAACACUUUAAAUUUACAGGCUAUAAGUCAUAUUUGAGGCAUUUAAAACAUUUUGGGAAAAUUCCCAAAUGAGCAAGUUACAUGAAAAAGUAUAACAAGAAUGUCUUCAAACUUUCGGGAUUUAUCCCGAAAAAAAUAUUUCACAUGAAACAACAAAUUUAAACUUUCGGGAUUUAUCCCGAAAAA
rnacentral:lncRNA from 1 species